CCCUCCCCUGCUCAUGCUCUGUCUCUCUCUGUCUCUCAAAAAUGAAUAAAUGUUUAAAAAAAUUAAAAAAAAUAAAUAUAAUUAAUUCUGUUCCAUUCAGUUUUCUUCUGUCAGACUAUUUUCUCUUGGCUUUUUUUUUAUUUUUAAAAAUCUUUUAAAAAUAUUUUUUAAUGAGGUACUUCAUUUAAGACAAUAUACAAUUUUCCUUCAGAAUCUCAGGAAAUAUCUUCUGCUGUCUUCUCAUAAAUGUGCUUAGUCUAUCUAAAUGGUUAAGUAUUUAAAUAUGUAAGUGGUAAGGUUGAAUUCUUUAACAUUUAUGUGGCCCCUUCUAUCCAAUGGGGAGACUGUGCAGACUAAACUUGAUAUUCUUCAUUAUGCUUCCGUGAAAUCAAAUCUAUGUUUUGUCUUCGAAUAAUUUAAAAAUUUUUAAGUUUAUUUAUUUAUUUUCAGAGAGGGGGGCAGAAAGAGAGGGAGAGAGGGAAUCCCAAGCAGACUCUGUGCUGUCAGUGCAGAGCCUGACACAGGGCUCGAUCCCAAGAAACCUGAGCCGAAACCAAGAGUUGGAAGCUUAACUGACUGAGCCACCCAGGCACUCCUCUCACAUAACUUACUUAGUUUUUAUAGAGGACACUGAGAAGUCAGUUUGUUUCCUAAAUAUAAAUGUGAGAAAAAAUUAAGAUUAUUUGGUAAAAUAUGGGGAAACUGUUGUCAAGUAAUUAAUCUUGCUAUGAGUUGAUUUCUUAGCCAUGUUACUCUGUUUGGUUCUGCCUAGGGUAACACAAUAUUUUUGCCACCUGGUAACCAUUUAGUGGCUUGCUGUCCGUCAAAUUGGAAUCAUUAAUCUAAGAUCCGCAAAAUACACUGACCUCAUCAAGAACCAUCAGCCACAUUAAUCACAUGGCUAAAUAAUGUCUAACUUGCCAAAAGAGAGAGAACAGAAGAAACCGGAGGUCAAGAAAAUCCCCAAAAGGAAAAUACAGAUUCAAAAGUGUGAUUGUCCAGCAAACUAUACAUCUAGGCUGGACAGUCUAGCUACUAGUGGUCAGAGAGUUCAAGAAAAUGUUGCCAGUCGUGGUGUGGAGCCAAGCAGCAUCUUGAGACAAGAGAGCUAUUUCUUGGAGCAUUGAAACCACAGUCCGUACAAGUAUCUGCAGACGGCAUCAGCAGAGGAAUCUAGGAGACAGACAUAUCCUAGAGUGAGUAAGGAGUAGGUGAAACUGUCCUGUUGGCCCAGAUAACUACUCUGUACCAAGUGCAAAGUGUAAUGUACAAAUGACAAGUUUGGUUUUCGUGAGUGAUCACGAAGGUUCUCCCAUACAGCAGUGCACAGCAACGUGUGAACAUGACAGUGAAGAGGAAUGGAGAUAGAUGAACAUAAGAGGACAGUGGUAAUAACAGUUGAGUCUGGAGGCCUUGUACAUUAGAAGCUGGAUUUAUAUGACUGCAGAGAAAUUUUGCAGCUCGUUACAUUUAGAGCUUCUACCUCUAUCAGAAGACCUCCUUGAUAAAAGUAAGAAAGAUAAAAACAGAACUAGUACUGGCCCUAAGACUUUGAAGAGACACCGUUGAUGAAAAGAGACUCCCACCUGACUUUAGGAUUGGAACACAGUGUUCUAUUGUGGGAGAAAAUGACCGAGGAACAUUGUUGCAAAUCCUAUCAAUCUCCUUUAGAUUUGGUCCGUCUUCUUCCUGUCUUCAAUCUCACAGUUAUUCUGAAAGCACCAAAGACAGUAUCCUGGAUAACCUGCUGAAGGAAUGUGUGGAGAGAGUAGAGCUGGUCAAAGAUACUGUGAAGAAUUGGACAGAGAGGUAGGAAAAACAUUUGAGGAAAAUGGAGUUACAGUAGCCAAAAGAAGAUGGAGUUUUAUAAAGGAGGAAGUGCACAAAAAGACUAUCACAUUAACGUCCCCAACAAAGGGUAGACUCUCACCCAUAUCUGUCAUUCCCUCUUCCUUUGGGAGCAGUGAGGAGAUUAGAGAGGGUGGGAGGUCCCAUGUUAGGGUUUGAAGCUGAAAUGUAAUCAGUAUCAGGAAAUGAUUCUCUUAUACACCACAGCUUACCAUUUUCUUGACACUUUGGCUUGACUGUUAAGCUUAUGGAAAACUUGGUGUGCAGGAGGGAGCUGUAGUUUGGAAGGCCAGUCUUGUUCCCAUCUUUGUGAUAUCACACACUGUCACCAUCUACCACUCCUGUUAUGCUCUUUGAACCAUGGUGGGCAAUUCAGAUGUUGCCCCAGAAUGAUCUAUAAUAGUGAAAAGAAGACUACAUUCAAUAAUUUGUCUACUAAGAUGCAUUAUAUGUAUUCUCUAUUCUAUUCACUAUCUCAAAUUAUAUUCAUUUAUAUAAUUCACUGAGUUACAUAUUCAGUCAAAUUACAAUAGAAAAUGUUCCAGAUAACACAAUGCCAGCAGCACUAGAAACAUGACCCAAAUUUUCACAAUCAGAACACCCUCUAAUUAUUAAAUUGCUGAGGAGAAAUUAAUGCCCAGAAUAAAUUUGCUUCUAAAUUAAAUUUCCAAAGAAUUAAAAUCUAAAAUUUAGCUCUCCAUCAUGCUUUAUUUUUCUGUUUUUCAGUUAAGUAGGGGUUUUAAGUCAGUGAGAAUUCCUUCAGCAUUUUAAGUCAGUGAGAAUUCCUCCAGUAUCUUCUAGUGGGUCCUUUAAAGGAGCCUGAGAAUCAAUAGGACACACUGGAUCACAGCAGUGCUACGUGCUUACCCACAUGAUUGAGAAAGCACAAAAAUCCAUAGGCUCCAUAACAUCAAUUUUACCAAAAUAACAUAAUCAGGGCUUAAAAUAUACCACUAUCUAGACUCACUACUGAUGUCAGCUAAGGAUCAUGUAUUUACUGGCAUUUGGAGGAUAGACAGAUUUAAAAAAUGAUAGAAAUGUUUUUGGUUUUAGUUUCUCCAUGAAAUUGUUAAGUUGGCUAUUAUUAGAUCCCAUUUAUGCAAAGCCUGUGUUUUCAUUGCUGCAAGAGCAGAAGUCCAAUGAAAAACAAUGACCAAUGCCAUGUGUUUCUUUACAAUAAACUUCUAGUAUUUUUUUUUUAAUUCCUUUGUCAUCAGUCCAUCUUUAGGACUCUAGUGGCACCACCUCUACCACUUAUAUUCCUCUUUUAGGAGGACUUGACUCCUCUCUCCCCAUAAUGGAUCAUUUAGCAACAGCUAAGAAAUAGGAUAGGGGUGGGAACAAACAACCUGUUAGAUUUCUUCUACUGAUUCUCAGGACUCCAAAAAUCUCAACUUCUAUGGCUCAAGAGACACUAACUCCAGCCCUGUACUUCAUAUUCCAGGCUGAGAUGCUUUCCAAAAGUGUAUGCACAAAAAGUCUGAAUAUUGUGAUAGGACCCUUUCUUGGCUCUAACAAAUAUCUUACUCUAUGUGGGACCAAGUCCCAGAAGAAGUGAAAUUGUCUUCCUAAUUUAAAUUCCCAAAAGGAGUCUCUCCUGACCUUGGGAAAGGACACAUUAUUUGCACCUACAACCAGAUUUCUGCCUGUUAUGUUUGAAGCCUCUGAAAUGUUCAUCAUGAGUGCUAUUAUGACUCCCUUUCCUGCUUAAAACCAACUGUGGUCCUAAGCUCAAGCCCACCAGUUAAAGUGUUGCUUAGAGAUCCAACCGGCCCCUUGUUCACUUAAGCUAAAGCCUACCUACAUAGCCGAAACCUGUUAACACUCUUGUAGAGACUCAUGUAGACUCUUGCCAAAAUAUAAGCUUCCUGAUUUCAAAGUUCAAAAAACUCAAUAACCACCACUUGUUAAAGGUAGCCAUUUCAGACACAUUAGAAUGUUCAGUCUGGCCAUGUCAUAGUUUGAUCUAAAAUGGUUAAGUCAUGAAUCUAUUCUCACAGUUUUCCAGACAAUACAUCUUAUGUUGGGGGUUUAGAGUCAUAAUUAACCACACUUCUCCACUAGUUUAGUGGAUUCUGAAUUGAAAAAUGAUACAUAAGAGCCAGAUAAAGAUAUCAGCAUUAUUUGUUGACAAACAAUUGUUGAUAUCCAGCAAUUAUUUAUUGGCUUGGAAAAUUUGCCUUAGGCCAGACUGGGUUGCCUUCUUAUAUACUCCUUGAAUGAUACUACCCUUUCUACUAGAAGAAACAAUGGAUGGAAAACUAUAGGUUCCACCUUCCCAUACUGCUGUAACUGAGUUUUAUGUAUGGCAGAUGCAGGAUCAAAGAACACACAAUAAAGCUUUCAAGGAGGCAACCUAAGAAACAAACAAACAAGCAAGCAAGCAAACAAACAUACAUACCUAAGGGGCAUUUUUCAUGAGAGCAGUUAUUUUCACUUCAUUAGCUCUGCUUAUCAUCAGUGGUUCUUACUGGUAUUAGGGAGGUUUGGAUAUGAUGGGUAAAGACAUGAGCAUUAGUUUUCUUCCUAAUAUUUUAAGAGGAUGGAUAUUCCUGCCUUAUGACCUGAGACAGGAGCAUGAAAUGACAGAGAGGAUAAUCCCCCAUGCAGAAGAGAUCACAGUAUCACAUAUUGCACAAAAAGGUCAAAGUCAAGGUCAAGAAAGAGGAGGACAGAAAAGUGUUCAUAGACACUACCAUGGUACAAUUCAUUGGUAAUCUUAGAAAUAGGAUCACAGUAUCACAUAUUGCACAAAAAGGUCAAAGUCAAGGUCAAGAAAGAGGAAGACAGAAAAGUGUUCAUAGACACUACCAUGGUACAAUUCAUUGGUAAUCUUAGAAAUAGGCAUUUUGCAGUGCAGUGAUUCUCAAACUUUAAUGUGUUUCAGGGUCAUCUGGAAGGCUUGUUAAAACACAGAUUGGUGAGCCCCAACUUCUCAAGAGUUUUUAAUUCAGCAGGUCUAGGAUGAGGUCAGAUGAGUUUGUAUCUCCAACCAGUUUCCAGGUGAUAUUGAUGCUGCUGGUCAGGAGACCACAUUUGGAAAAUCACUGCUGUCGACUGUUGGGGAUGAAAGUAGAAGUAGGGUACACGAACUAUUCUUUCAGUGAACUUGGCUAUGAAGAAAAGCAGGGAGACAAAUAAAUGUUGGGAGAUUAGAUGGAACGGAGGAUGGAUUUCCUUUAAGUUCUACAGAUAUCUUAUCUCUAUGUUCUUUAUUGUAAUGGGAUUUGUUCCAUCAUACAUUUGCUACCAGACACUGUUAUGAACUAUCUUUUUGUAGUGGCUGCAUGUGCUAGAUAUCUUCUGUUUGAUCUGCCAUGUCCAUUCUAUUUUUAACCGUGUCCUGGGAGCUCCCUUGUCAUCUGACUUCCUGCUGGGUUUAGCCAAUGGGGCUCCUCUAUCAGAGAUCUGAGGGAAGGAGGUGAGUGAGGCUAGCGUAUUUGUUCCCCUGGCUUCUUCCUUGCCAGGUUGUCUUGUGCUGGCUCUGUUUCUUGACAAAAGGCUGUUAUUUCUCUCCAAGGGAGAGAAAUCUCUAUAAGAUUGCCUUCUUUCAGAUUCUGUUAACUGCCGUUUCCUCUUUUUCUUGUUCCGUUUUACCCUGCCCAUAUCUUUAUUAAGUAAAUAGUUCUUUAUCAAACCUUCCUUAAAUUAUCCUAUUUUGAGCACAUUAUCUGGGAUGCUGAAAGGUAUAGGCGUGUAGUGUGUGUGUGUGUGUGUGUGUGUGUGUGUGUGUGUGGGCACAUGCUUUCAUGAAUGUGCAUAUGUGGCUUCCUCUCCAUAUCUCACAGACUUUCUUUUGCAUCACAACCCUUCCUCCACUUUCAGUCCAUGUAAUUCAGGUAGGCAUGAGUCUACCCUUCUCCAGAUCUAGAAGUUGGCAAGUGGCCUGCAUACGUUGGUAUGUUCCCUGGCCACAGUUCAGCUCAGGGAAGGGCACUUGCUCUAAUUUGGUUCAGUAAAAUUUAGCCCUGAGACUAGAUAUAUUUGAAAGAGGUGCUGUCUUUCCUCUGUGAUUGCUAAGGUAGUAUUAUGUAAGCGUGGGUUUUCCUGUGUUCUUUAUCAUCACUGGGAGAGAACCUGAACAGGAAUGAAGGCUUAGAAAGGAAAGUGGAGAGGUAAAAGGAAGAGAAACAGAGUCCUAAUGGUAUCUAUCAAAAACAUAGUUUUAACUGAAAGUGGCUACUUCUGAGUUUAAAUAUUUAUUUGCUCAGAUCAUUUUGAGUUGAGUUCUGCAAUUUGUAACAGAAAUUGUUCCGACUGACAUAUUCCUUACUCCUCCCUUGUUGCAUGUGUAUUCUAAGUUCCACCUUAUGGCUAUCUAUGUAGUGCUUCUUUGAACUUUCUCUAAUUCUCUAGAUUUUUCUAAGUCUGUCUUUCUCUGCUUCAAAAGGUUAUGUAUAUAUUCUCUUUUGGACAUUCUUAUAAAAAUAUAUUAAAAAUAUGUUUUACCCUGAGGGAAAAAAAAUGAUAUCAAAAAGACAUUGGUGAUGGAGUUAAAAUACUAUAUUUGCAACCCUACUGAUAUAUUUGAGGCUUUACGAUAGAAAAGAUUCAAUUGGUGUCAUUUUAAAUCUAUAGACCUUGAACCAUAAAAGUACAUGAAAUCAUUAUGGGAUUACUUCAAAACUAUCCUUUUUAAAAUACUUUUUACUACAGCUCUGUCGGUUAACCUACCAUAUCUUGAACUAAAAAGAUAAUAAGCUAAAAAUGUGAUAAACUCAGGCAGUAAGAUAUUAAAGGCAUAAGAAUAUAAGAGAGCAAGACAGGAAGGUAAGAAUAUUAUCAUGGGGGUAAGAGGUAAAAAUUAAGUGUUAAAAUGGCAUAGGACCUUGGUGCCUUCUGGAUUGUGAAGCUUCCUGCCACUGCUUAGCAACAUGCACCAGGUGCCAGAAAAAUUGGAAUAUAUGUCUUAAGCUCCAGAAUUUGUUAACACCUUUAAAUGUACGCUCUAACUCACUAAAAAUGCAUUUAAAAAAUAUGUAAAGUGCCACCAUUUGAAAUGAAGGAAAAAUUCAUUCAUUUAAAGUAGCUUUUUAAAAAAAGCCUUAGCUCAUGUUUCUAAAACCUGACAAGUACAAAGAAGAAAACUUGUUAAUGCCUAGAUUUUAAAAAAAGGAACAAUGGAUGAGAAAACAAUAAACCAGUUCUGUCAAUUUGAAAACUAUUUUAGCAUUUCAAGAUGUGUGUGUUUUUUUUUAACAUGCUGGAUAUUUAAGUUUCCAAGAAAAUGGAAAGUGAUUAAUAGCUUCUUGUCAAAGUGUGUCCUUCUUAAUUAGUAACUUCAUUGGCAGAGGUUUAUUUGCAAUUGUUGCACAAGCUUUCACCCUUUUGUGUACUCUCCACCCAUGGCAAUACUGGGAGUAUCGUGGGGUUCCCCUCGGAACUGACAAUGACUUCCCCGCCCUUCCCUUCACCUCAGUCCCAGCAGCUGAUUUCAGCAGCUGUUUGUGACUCCUGGUGGAGGUUAAUUCAUUUAUGCUUUGGGACAGCUGCUUGGGGUGGCAAGUGUUUCCUUGGGCAGCUGGAGAGAAGACAGGCUUUACCUACAGCUGCUCCAGAGAUCAAGAUUUUUCAGCAGCUGUAGGGGAGUGUAGAGACCCAACAGCCCCUUGUUUAUAAUUCUGCCACUCUGAAGACUCAGAGCUGCAACUUGAUUCUUACUCAGAGCAUUGUCUCCAGUUCUACCAAGGAUGGACAGAAGUUGUCAGGAAACUCAGGCAGUGAAUUCAUACAGGAAAAUGUGUUAGGUUGCUUACUGUCUCCUUAAAAAUAAUGAUUUUGCCUGCUAAGAUGUCUGUGUUAUUCAAAGCGAUGGGGGAGAAUCAUGCACUAGAAUCUUCCUGCUUAGCCCAGUGGCUCUCAGCCUUGGCUGUUCAUGGAAUCACCAGGAGCUUAAAACCACGUGGUGCCCAGAUCCCACUCUCAGAGAUUGUGAUUUCAAUGCCCCAAUGGCUGCUUAGGCAUCAGGACAUUACAUUCUCAGGUGAUUGUCAUGACCAGCCUAAGUUGAGAAAGUGCAUUAGCCUAGCCUGUUGUCCGAAAUUGUUUUCAGAACUACCCUGUUGUCUUCUCAGUCAAAUCCAUCCCAUCUUCCUUUGUCUCACCUGAACUCUUGCUUUACACCUGUGUGGUUUAUGCCCAAACACUUUUUAAACAUUGCUACCUUAUGCCUUCUCAUCCCCAUUGUACUUCACUUUCUUACCAUCAUAUCAAGACAUAGCUUCGUUUAUGUCUACUGGGUGCCAGAGAUUUAGAAGUUAAUAAUUCUUAAAAUCAACAAAAUAAAAGGGUAUGCUAAUUUUCCCCCUUUUCUCUUGAAAUUCUUUUUCUUUUCUUUCUUCCCCCUGCCCCCUGCCUGUCAUGUCUUGCCCUCAUUUAGAGGGAAGCUCUUAAGGAAAUGAGGAACUCAGACAAACAUUGGCAUAGAUAUUACAUGCAUUUUAAGAUGAUGUUCUACUGUGGUAUGUAAUAGUUCUCAAAAAAAUUGAAAAGCUUAAGUAAUUAAAAAUGCCCUUUGGUACAAGUAGAGCUGAAAAGAUAGGUCUCAGAGGAUGCUUUGUGCCUACCAGUAAUUUGGAAAAAUUAAGCAAUAAAGGAAAAUGUCUGUGAUCUUAUGAAGAAAACAGAAAGUUUAAUAAACAAACAAAAAAAAAAGCUAGCAAUUAGGACUUAGUAAAAAGUAAUUAGCAGGCAAUGUUCUCUACUUCUCUGUGCUCUCCUUGAGCUCUGAAAACAAAGCUAUAUGAAACAAGAAUGACUUUAAUGUCAGUCUGACCUCUCAUGUUUCCUUCAUCAGUCAUUAACAGUGACUAGUAUUUCCUGAGAAUGGGUCCUGAAGACUUAAUAGAUAAAGCUCUCUCUAUAGCCAAAGUGAAACAGCAAGUUUAUUAUAGGAUCCUGGGAGAGAAAUGUCUCUUCCACCCCCAACUAACAAAGAGGAAAAAAAAAUAUGAAGUGACAAUAGGCAUUUUCAGUAUUGGAAUUAUUUAGAUCACAUUUCUAUGCAUUUUUGUUUCAAAUAGAAUAAUUUAACCCACCAAUUCAAUGUGUUUUUUUGUGGCUAGUCACAAAAUCAUAAAAAUAAGCAUUUAUUAUAUGCUAGGCAAGCUUCAUGAGAAUGUGUCACUGAAUUCUAGUAAAAUCCUCCUAAGGUAGGAUAACUAAACACAGCCUACAGAUAAAGUAACUGAGGCCCUGGGAAAUUAAAGAACUUGUGUGCUGUCACUCUAAGAGGCCAUAUAGAUAUUCAAAUCUAGAGCUGCCUGAUCCCAAGUUAAAGGUUUUUUGAUUCAAGAACUAAAUCUUGGAUUCCAAGUUUGAGAUGUUACACUUUGGUGAUACAAACUGUCGGUAUAGUUUUGCGCUUAAGAAACUGAUCUUUGGAGACAGAUAUAGAUAAGGAUGUGAAUCCUGGGUUCACUAAACAAUAGCCUCUCAGUGUUUUCAUCUAAAGAAUGGGAUUCUUCCUACUUGUUUUAUGGUAAAAUUGAAUCUUUCGUAAGGAUUCAGCGAGGUAUUACAAAUGAAACACUCAAGCUGGCAAAGAAUAUAUAUUAAAAACGGUAAUAAUGUUGUUAUUAUUAUUGAUAGUUUUUAGUAUUUAGCACCUAAAAUAAGCUAACUGUAUUUUUGAAACUUAAAUUGUUUGAUAGUCUUACUUUGGGGCUUUAGCUAUUCAUUCAUUAUUCAACAUAUAUUAAUUGAGUAUCUAUGACGUGCCAGACACUGUUUUUGCCCUUGAGAAUACAUUAGUGAACACAGGAGAUAAAAGUAUCUGUUCUUGUGGAUCUUACAUCUGUGGACUAAUUACCUUGCCUUUCUGUUAGCAAAAAGACGCAAGGAACUAUUAGAGUGUUAGCUAUUUAAAACAAAGUCCAGCUUAUCUUUUCUAUUCUAUUUGAUAUUAAGUAUUUCAAAGAGAUUUCAUAAUUUUAUCCGUAGAUAAGUAUAAAUUUCAGGCAUGAAAAGAUUAAGUGUUGCUAACAGCUAUCCCAAAUUAACCCAUUUAAAUUUCUUUGACUUAGAAGAGGUACUAAAAUCAAUUAGUACCAUAUAAUGGGGACUGCAUAACUAUUUUAUUCAUUCUCUGGCUCUUUCACCUGAAACCAUCAUGUUUUAAAAUAUGGAGUCAAUUGAUUAAGCAUGGUACAUGCACCUUAAUAUUAGCAGCACACUGGAAUGUGCUCUCGUGGUUCAGCCAGGAGCAAGACAAAAUGAGAGUCUUGAAAGCCAAGCGCAGUAGCUGAUAGACCCCAGAUGGAGGUGGCAUGUCAUGCGUUUGGAGUUUAUUGUCCUAUUAUCAGAGCAGCAAAGGGCAGAAGGAAGAAGUGGAUGGGUAGAGAUUAGAAUAAGAGACUGAGAAUUUGAGGGUUAACACCUCAAGUUUUACUUGUUCUUCCUGUGGUUUCUUUAUGCCCUUCUGUCUUUUUCUUUCUCCUGGUGAUGCAUGACUUGGAGGAUAGGAAAAGUUUGAAUCACUCUGAAAAAUAUUAGGCGUUCCUUUUUGUUUUUUCACAUUUAUUUAUUUUUGAGAAACGGAGUGAGAUAAAGUGUGAGCGGGGGAGGGGCAGAGAGAGAAGGAGACACAGAAUCCA